rnacentral:rRNA from 1 species
GACGAACGCUGGCGGCGUGCUUAACACAUGCAAGUCGAACGAAGAGCGAUGGAAGCUUGCUUCUAUCAAUCUUAGUGGCGAACGGGUGAGUAACGCGUAAUCAACCUGCCCUUCAGAGGGGGACAACAGUUGGAAACGACUGCUAAUACCGCAUACGAUCUAAUCUCGGCAUCGAGGAUAGAUGAAAGGUGGCCUCUACAUGUAAGCUAUCACUGAAGGAGGGGAUCGCGUCUGAUUAGCUAGUUGGAGGGGUAACGGCCCACCAAGGCGAUGAUCAGUAGCCGGUCUGAGUGGAUGGACGGCCACCUUGGGACUGAGACACGGCCCAGACUCCUACGGGAGGCAGCCGUGGGGAAUCUUCCGCAAUGGACGAAAGUCUGACGGAGCAACGCCGCGUGAGUGAUGACGGCCUUCGGGUUGUAAAGCUCUGUUAAUCGGGACGAAAGGCCUUCUUGCGAAUAGUGAGAAGGAUUGACGGUACCGGAAGAGAAAGCCACGGCUAACUACGUG